UGCUCUGCACUCCACAGGUCUUUCCAGGACUACACUGAACCUGAACCUGACAAGAGUAAAUUGUGCAAUUCCAUCGUUUCAGAAUGAAAUGUGCUUAAUGAUAUCUUGACCUAUGAUCUCUGGGAUGGAAGAAAAAACAGGGUUAUCCAGGGAUCA